CAAGAAAUAGAAGGCAUACGUAGGUUUAAGGUGAGAGGGGAAAUAUUUAGCAGGAAUCUGAGGGCAACUUGUUCACAGAGGGUGACAGGUAUAUGGAAUGAGCUGCCAGAGGAGGUAGUUGAGGCCAG